GCCUGGGUGGCUCAGUCUGUUGAGCGUCCAACUUUGGCUCAGGUUAUCAUCUUCGAUUUGGUGGGUUCAAAUCCCUCAUCGGGCU
rnacentral:tRNA from 1 species